AAGAUAAUACAAAUAUAGACAGUCCCUGAUGCACAUAGAUCCAUACUUGCAUAGCAGUUCCUUCAUUUACAAGAUCUAUUGAUCAAAGCUGUAGCAUUUGAUAUUAGGUUUCAGUUAAGCUGCCAUAUAACACAGGAUAUUAGGUUUUAGUUAAGCUGCCAUAUAACACAGGAUAUGUUGUAUCUGACCACUUUAGAGUUCAUUACAGAUUGGUUGAUAUCCACGAUAGGAUCAAUCAGAAAGUUGAAAAAUGAGAUUCAACAGGCCAAGUCUGGAUUCUUGAAAAAUUGGAGGUAUGGAACUCAAAAUUUUGCCACUCUGUGGUUGUAUUGUGUGACUCAAAUAUUUUUGUUGUUACAUCUUUGUGAAUAUCUUGGAGAAUACCGUUAUCGUUGUUUCAACCGUCCUGAUGUUACUCUGCCAGGAAUCUUAUCGGAUGCAUCUGAUGUGUCAGCGAUCAUUUUAUA
rnacentral:lncRNA from 1 species